GACGGAGGAUGCAAGCGUUAUCCGGAAUGAUUGGGCGUAAAGCGUCCGUAGGUGGCAAUUCAAGUCUGUGGUUAAAACCCAGGGCUUAACCCUGGACCUGCCACGGAAACUGAAUCGCUUGAGUGCAGUAGGGGCAGGGGGAAUUUCCAGAGUAGCGGUGAAAUGCGUAGAGACUGGAAAGAACACCGGUGGCGAAAGCGCUCUGCUGGACUGCAACUGACACUGAGGGACGAAAGCUAGGGGAGCGAAAGGG
rnacentral:rRNA from 1 species